UACAGGGGGGGCAAGCGUUGUUCGGAAUUACUGGGCGUAAAGGGUUUGUAGGUGGCUUGCUCAGUCAGACGUGAAAUCCCUCAGCUUAACUGGGGAACUGCGUCUGAUACUGGCGAGCUUGAGUGCAGGAGAGGAACGCGGAAUUCCAGGUGUAGCGGUGAAAUGCGUAGAUAUCGGCAGGAACUCCGGUGGCGAAGGCGAGAUGCUGGAUCCUUUCUGACGCUGAGGCGCGAAAGCCAGGGGAGCAAACGGG
rnacentral:rRNA from 1 species